GGGGUGGUGUCUGCCAUAGACGACAUCCACAUGGGCAGAGGGUGUCUGGGCAUCGACUUGAUCCGGAAUAGUACGACGUCAGUUUUCACCAAGGCUCAAACGACAUCAAUAGGGACUGUCAAGGGCUAGGCGGCAUCCAAGGGGAGAGAGGAUACGAUGGUGUCUUGGGAGCACGAGAUAGGAAAGCGAAAGAGGAGGGCAAACUAUGAACACAUGCAAAGCACGGGGUCGGGUUUUGGAUGUGGAUGUGACACGGAUGUCGGACUCUGAUAUAGCG
rnacentral:lncRNA from 1 species